UGCCUAAUACAUGCAAGUCGAGCGGACAGAUGGGAGCUUGCUCCUGAUGUUAGCGGCGGACGGGUGAGUAACACGUGGGUAACCUGCCUGUAAGACUGGGAUAACUCCGGGAAACCGGGGGCUAAUACCGGAUGCUUGUUUGAACCGCAUGGUUCAGACAUAAAAAGGUGGCUUCGGCUACCACUUACAGAUGGACCCGCGGCGCAUUAGCUAGUUGGUGAGGUAACGGCUCACCAAGGCGACGAUGCGUAGCCGACCUGAGAGGGUGAUCGGCCACACUGGGACUGAGACACGGCCCAGACUCCUACGGGAGGCAGCAGUAGGGAAUCUUCCGCAAUGGACGAAAGUCUGACGGAGCAACGCCGCGUGAGUGAUGAAGGUUUUCGGAUCGUAAAGCUCUGUUGUUAGGGAAGAACAAGUGCCGUUCAAAUAGGGCGGCACCUUGACGGUACCUAACCAGAAAGCCACGGCUAACUACGUGCCAGCAGCCGCGGUAAUACGUAGGUGGCAAGCGUUGUCCGGAAUUAUUGGGCGUAAAGGGCUCGCAGGCGGUUUCUUAAGUCUGAUGUGAAAGCCCCCGGCUCAACCGGGGAGGGUCAUUGGAAACUGGGGAACUUGAGUGCAGAAGAGGAGAGUGGAAUUCCACGUGUAGCGGUGAAAUGCGUAGAGAUGUGGAGGAACACCAGUGGCGAAGGCGACUCUCUGGUCUGUAACUGACGCUGAGGAGCGAAAGCGUGGGGAGCGAACAGGAUUAGAUACCCUGGUAGUCCACGCCGUAAACGAUGAGUGCUAAGUGUUAGGGGGUUUCCGCCCCUUAGUGCUGCAGCUAACGCAUAAG
rnacentral:rRNA from 1 species